rnacentral:rRNA from 1 species
GACAGAGGGUGCAAACGUUGUUCGGAAUUACUGGGCGCAAAGCGCGUGUAGGCGGCUAAGUAAGUCGGGCGUGAAAUCCCACGGCUCAACCGUGGAAGUGCACUCGAAACUGCAUAGCUAGAGUCCUGGAGAGGAAGGUGGAAUGCUUGGUGUAGAGGUGAAAUUCGUAGAUAUCAAGCGGAACACCGGUGGCGAAGGCGGCCUUCUGGACAGUGACUGACGCUGAGACGCGAAAGCGUGGGGAGCAAACAGG